rnacentral:rRNA from 1 species
AUACGAAGGGCCCGAGCGUUGCGCGGAAUCACUGGGCUUAAAGCGUACGUAGGCGGGCAUGCAGGUAUCUUGUGAAAUCCCUCGGCUCAACCGAGGAAUUGCUUGGUAAACCGCAUGUCUUGAGGCAAGUAGAGGCUGUCGGAACGAUAGGUGGAGCGGUGAAAUGCGUUGAUAUCUAUCGGAACGCCGAAGGUGAAGACAGGCCGCUGGGCCAUUGCUGACGCUCAGGCACGAAAGCGUGGGUAGCGAACGGGAUUAGAAACCCCUGUAGUCC